rnacentral:rRNA from 1 species
GUCUUCUUGAUAAAAUAGGAAGUCUGACCUGCCCAGUGAAAAUAUUUUAACGGCCGCGGUAUAUUGACCGUGCAAAGGUAGCAUAAUCAUUAGUCUUUUAAUAGAGGGCUGGAAUGAAGGGUUUAACGAAGUACUUACUGUCUCAUUUAAUUUGAUAUUAAAAUUUACUUUUUCAGUCAAAAAGCUGAAAUAUUAUUGGAAGACGAGAAGACCCUAUAGAGCUUUAUAUUUAGUUAUUUAAUAAAUUUUUGAUAUAAUUAUUAUUUAUUAUUUAAUAAAAUAUUUUGUUGGGGUGACAAAAAUAUAUAAUUAACUUUUUUAUUUAUAUAACAUUGAUAUAUGAAAAAUAGAUCCAGUUUUACUGAUUGUUAGAAUAAGUUACCUUAGGGAUAACAGCGUAAUCUUCCUUCAGAGUUCAUAUUCACAGGGAGGCUUGCGACCUCGAUGUUGGAUUAAGAUUAUAAUUAGGUGUAGCCGCUUAAAAAAUAGGUCUGUUCGACCUUUAAAUUCUU